rnacentral:rRNA from 1 species
GCAAGUCGAGCGGUAGCACAGAGAGCUUGCUCUCGGGUGACGAGCGGCGGACGGGUGAGUAAUGUCUGGGAAACUGCCUGAUGGAGGGGGAUAACUACUGGAAACGGUAGCUAAUACCGCAUAAUGUCGCAAGACCAAAGUGGGGGACCUUCGGGCCUCAUGCCAUCAGAUGUGCCCAGAUGGGAUUAGCUAGUAGGUGGGGUAACGGCUCACCUAGGCGACGAUCCCUAGCUGGUCUGAGAGGAUGAC